CGGGAGGCUGAACCAGCCAAGUCGCGUGAGGGAAGACGGCCCUACGGGUUGUAAACCUCUUUUGUCAGGGAGCAAGAGGCGGGUCGAGACCUGCUGUGAGAGUACCUGAAGAAAAAGCAUCGGCUAACUCCGUGCCAGCAGCCGCGGUAAUACGGAGGAUGCGAGCGUUAUCCGGAUUUAUUGGGUUUAAAGGGUGCGCAGGCGGAGGCACAAGUCAGCGGUAAAAUCGCGGGGCUCAACCCCGCUCCGCCGUUGAAACUGUGUCCCUUGAGUGCGCGAAGGGUAGGCGGAAUGCGUGGUGUAGCGGUGAAAUGCAUAGAUAUCACGCAGAACUCCGAUCGCGAAGGCAGCCUACCGGCGCGCAACUGACGCUCAUGCACGAAAGCGUGGGUAUCGAACAGGAUUAGAUACCCUGGUAGUCCACGCAGUAAACGAUGAAUGCUAUCUGUCCGGCCGGAAUGACGGCUGG
rnacentral:rRNA from 1 species